CCGUCAGAGCCAGUAGAAUCGACGGACAGCCUUGAAAUCCCAUUCGCUAUCUGCGAAUGGGAUUUGGCCAUUUGGUAAGCGACUUCCGCCUGUAUAGUCGAAGUAGGACGAACAAGGCGGAUUAAUAUCUUGGUAUGACGAACGGUCUUUGUGCUAAGUUAACGGAAUCGGAUUUAUGGAUCAAAACACAACUUUUCCUGCAAAUACUUCGACGACGGCGAGCGGCGGCGUGAUGGACAGAAGGGGUAGAAGGGAAGAACGAGCAAACGUGGUGGAGAAGAAGGGAUCGAUUUCUGGAGUGACGCAAUGCGUCUCACUUGGCACCACGCGCGUAAAUCAAGGAUCGGUGCGCACCAGGACAGAGGAGGAGCGCAGCGCACUGGCUGCGCCUUUGCCAAGUGAUGCGCAUGGAGCGAGCGAGUGACGGCAGCGCCGAGUGGAGGAC